AUUGAACGCUGGCGGCAUGCCUUACACAUGCAAGUCGAACGGUAACGGGCCUUCGGGUGCCGACGAGCGGCGACCGGGUGAGUAAUACAAAGGAACGUGUCCGAUCCUGGGGGAUAACGGGGAGAAAGCUUUGCUAAUACCGCAUACGAUCUAAGGAAGAAAGCAGGGGACCGCAAGGCCUUGCGCGGGCGGAGCGGCCGCUGGCAGAUUAGGUAGUUGGUGGGAUAAAAGCUUACCAAGCCGACGAUCUGUAGCUGGUCUGAGAGGAUGAUCAGCCACACUGGGACUGAGACACGGCCCAGACUCCUACGGGAGGCAGCAGUGGGGAAUUUUGGACAAUGGGCGCAAGCCUGAUCCAGCCAUGCCGCGUGCAUGAUGAAGGCCUUCGGGUUGUAAACUGCUUUUGUACGGAACGAAAAGCCUUCUUUUAAUACAUGAGGGUCAUGACGGUACCGUAAGAAUAAGCACCGGCUAACUACGUG
rnacentral:rRNA from 1 species